GCAUGUGUGCGGCGGCGGGGACAGGCAACCACACGCAGAUUUUGGGGAGCGACACGAUGCCAAGGGAUUAUAGGCUUAUUAUUAUAUAGCAAGCAACCGUAGGUGGUGUAGACGAACAAUGUGAGAUGAGAAAGCCACAACGCUGGGGCCCAAAGAAUCAUACUGCAGCAGCAAUAGUCAGCCCAUGAUAAAUCUCUGUUGAGUGCUCCUUUCUCUUUACCUCUUUACUCUUGUGUCUCUGACUUUGAUUUCAUAGCAUAUGUUUUUAGCUUGACACCGUGUUUGCAGAUUUGAUAAAGAAGGGUAGAUGAAGAAUCUAUCAGAAGAUUUUGUUGAACGAAACUUGCAUUUUGAUGUUAUGAGUGUAUUAAUAUAUUCUGCAGUUUUAGGAAAUUAGAUAAUAGGACCGACUAAAGGAGAAUUUCGGUUAAACUAUUUCUUUAUUUGUUUGUGCAACCAAACUUAUUUGGUUCUGAUUGCAAGAUAAUAGGACCAGCUAACGGAGAACUUUUGCUAAAAUAUUUCUUUAUUUUUUGUGCAACCAUGGUUAAUUGGUUUUGAUUGAUUGGUGGACAUGCUGAAUAAUGGUAGUGUGCAUGUGUGGCAGUGUAUUUUUUCCACUCCAUUUUGAGAAUUUAUGUUUUAGUUACAGAGCAGGAGGUACGAAUGGCCGGUCCAGAAGCUCCUUAAAACGAUUCUUUUAAAAGUAUAAUUUUAUCUCUUUCUUCUUUUCUUCUCUAUCCCUGAUCUGGCAGCUUUGGUUCUGGCCUUUGUUUGCUUGAAAAUCUCAAAUCAAGAGGGCAUGGCUUGAUUGCUAUCAAUAUUUUGAGCUGGUUACAAGUGUUGGAUAAUGAGCAACUAGUAUUUUCUGAGGGCCAAAGGCCAUUACAUAUACAUGUGUGUGAAAGUGCAGAAAAGCCCCUUAUACAAUGGGGAUGUACACAAUGAACUAUACACAUCUAACACCCCCCCUCAAACUCAUGGUGGAUCAACAACACUGAGUUUGGAGAGGAAAAACUCAUGCUGCGCUCGAGUCUGUGCCUUCGUGAAGAAGUCAGCCAACUGUAACUCAGAGGGCACAUAGUGAAGAGCGAGAGUCUGAUCCUGCACAGUAGCACGCACAAAGUGGGCAUCCACACCGAUGUGCUUGGUGAGCUCAUGCUUCACCGGGUCACGCGCAAUACUGAUAGCACCGGUACUGUCGGACAGUAGAGGAGUGGAGGUAGUAGCAGACACACCAAAGUCCUCAAGUAACCACCGUAACCAGAUCACCUCAGCCGUCAACAUA